UACGUAGGUGGCGAGCGUUGUCCGGAUUUACUGGGCGUAAGGGCGUGCAGGCGGUUUGUUAAGUGCAGAGUGAAAGCUCCCGGCUCAACUGGGAGAGGUCUUUGCAUACUGGCAAACUCGAGGGAGGCAGAGGAAAGUGGAAUUCCCGGUGUAGUGGUGAUAUGCGUAGAUAUCGGGAGGAACACCUGUGGCGAAGGCGGCUUUCUGGGCCUUACCUCGACGCU
rnacentral:rRNA from 1 species